AAAUUUGGGAGAGACAAUGUGGUUAUUUGAACCUAUAAGGCACAAGGUUCCAAACCGUCAUUUUGAAAAGACGUAAAAACCACAGGUGUAAGUUUAAGAAUGUGCGCAAUUAUUAUAAUAGGAAAGGAGCAUAUAACAGAUAGAUUUUUUCCACCUGCAAUGAAGAUGCAGGCCCUGUAAAAUCUAUAAAAUUACAUUAUGUUCUGGAAGCCUCUGAAGGAAG
rnacentral:lncRNA from 1 species